GAUGAACGCUAGCGGCAGGCUUAACACAUGCAAGUCGAGGGGCAUCGAGAGUAGCAAUACUUGUCGGCGACCGGCGCAAGGGUGCGUAACACGUGAGCAACAUACCCGUUUCAGGAGGAUAACCGGAGGAAACUCUGCCUAAUACUCCAUGACAUCAUCAAACGGCAUCGUUUGAUGAUUAAAGAUUUAUCGGAAACGGCUUGGCUCGCGGGACAUUAGCUCGUUGGUGAGGUAACGGCUCACCAAGGCGACGAUGUCUAGGGGUUCUGAGAGGAAGGUCCCCCACACUGGAACUGAGACACGGUCCAGACUCCUACGGGAGGCAGCAGUGAGGAAUAUUGGACAAUGGUCGGAAGACUGAUCCAGCCAUGCCGCGUGAAGGUUACUGUCCUAUGGAUAUUAAACUUCUUUUGUAUGAGAGCAAUAAGGUCACGUGUGCACCGAUGAGAGUAUCAUACGAAUAAGCAUCGGCUAACCG
rnacentral:rRNA from 1 species